GGUCUUAAAGUCGUAUAGAUUUUAAAUUGCAAAUUUGAAGAUGAAUUAAUUCUAAGGCUU
rnacentral:tRNA from 1 species